GAUCAUGGCUCAGAUUGAACGCUGCGGCAUGCCUUACACAUGCAAGGUCGAACGGCAGCACGGGGCAACCUGGUGGCGAGUGGCGAACGGGUGAGUAAUGCAUCGGAACGUGCCAUUGAGUGGGGGGUAACGUAGCGAAAGUUACGCUAAUACCGCAUAUUCUGUGAGCAGGAAAGCAGGGGAUCGCAAGACCUUGCGCUCUUUGAGCGGCCGAUGUCAGAUUAGCUAGUUGGUGAGGUAACGGCUUACCAAGGCGACGAUCUGUAGCGGGUCUGAGAGGAUGAUCCGCCACACUGGAACUGAGACACGGUCCAGACUCCUACGGGAGGCAGCAGUGGGGAAUUUUGGACAAUGGGGGCAACCCUGAUCCAGCCAUGCCGCGUGAGUGAAGAAGGCCUUCGGGUUGUAAAGCUCUUUCGGCCGGGAAGAAAUCGCAUGGGUUAAUACCCUGUGUGGAUGACGGUACCGGCAUAAGAAGCACCGGCUAACUACGUG
rnacentral:rRNA from 1 species